rnacentral:piRNA from 1 species
UGUAGGUAGAUUCGCUGAGUGUGCUA